AGAGUUUGAUCCUGGCUUAGGAUGAACGCUAGCUACAGGCUUAACACAUGCAAGUCGAGGGGCAGCAUGAUCGAAGCUUGCUUGAUGAUGGCGACCGGCGCACGGGUGAGUAACGCGUAUCCAACCUUCCCUAUAGUAGAGGAUAGCCCGGCGAAAGUCGGAUUAAUACUCUAUGUUUUCCAAUGCAGACAUCUAAGUUGGAACAAAGGUUUACCGCUAUAGGAUGGGGAUGCGUCUGAUUAGGUAGUCGGCGGGGUAACGGCCCACCGAGCCUACGAUCAGUAGGGGUUCUGAGAGGAAGGUCCCCCACAUUGGAACUGAGACACGGUCCAAACUCCUACGGGAGGCAGCAGUGAGGAAUAUUGGUCAAUGGGCGAGAGCCUGAACCAGCCAAAAGUAGCGUGCAGGAUGACGGCCCUAUGGGUUGUAAACUGCUUUUAUACGGGGAUAAAGUGAGGGACGUGUCCCUUUUUGUAGGUACCGUAUGAAUAAGGACCGGCUAAUUCCGUGCCAGCCGCCGC
rnacentral:rRNA from 1 species